UAAAGAAGUAUCACAUAGGAAAAAAAAAGCAAACUGAAUGCUUAAUAGAAAAAAAUAUUAUAAUACUUCUUGGAAGGAACCAAAAUGACAUUCUUUUAAAUAAAAGUGACUUGCAGUUAUUGAGACUUCAUAUAUGGGCUGAACAGCCCAGAAAUGAAUGAAUUUUUUUCUUAUUUACUCCCCUGUAGUAGUCUAGGAAAGGGGUACUGGUGUUAUCUCCAUUUCGCAUUUAAGGACUCUGAGUCUCAGUGUGAUUAAUUGGGAUUUGCCUAAGAUAAUAAGUGGCAGGGCCUCGAACGAUACUCACUUCCUCUAGAAGUGUCUGUUCUUCUUCCCUUUGUCACACUGUACGAAUCGGGCUCUUACCACCCCGACCAGGGAUCAAACCUGUGCCCUUGCACUGGAAGGUGGCUUCUUAACCACAGGGCCACCCAGGGAAGUCCUAAGUGUUCAUUUUUAUAUUCCCAUCUCCUGAGUCUUAUUUCAGGCCCUUACCAUCUCAUUCUCCAAUUGUUGCAGUGAGUCACUUAUCCAGAGCAAAGGAGGAACAAAGGUCUAGAAAUUUCUUUUCUUGUUCAUUUUGAAGAUCAUGCUAGAACCAUCUCCUACAAUCUUGAUCUGAUACCUUCCCUAGUCGUAAAACACUGAUCACUCUCACUGCACAGAACACAGGUCAAACUUCUUUGACAUCCCAGCAUCUUCUCCUGCGCCUUGGCCUACUUAUCUGGUCUUUUCCAUCACUAGCUCUUCCACUCAAGGCUGCAGUGUAUAAUUCAGCACUGAGAGCCUGCUCGAUCCUGUGCAGUGACCUGCUUUAAAGGGCCCAAAUGCUAGCCCAUUUUUGAAACAUCCCUUGGGCUCUCCAGCUCCAUUUCCAUUUCAUCUUUCUUGAAUGCCUUCCACCACCAUUUGUCUACUGAGAUCUUAUCAUAUUCAAAUGACUGCUCAUCUUAUUCAUCUUUGAUUACAUCUUUCCCAAUCACCUUGGUCAGAAGCAGUUUCUCUUUUUCAGCAUUCAGAUAAUAGUUUAUUUUGAACCGUGUAUAUGCUGUUAUUCUCAUAUUGCUUUGGAUAGUAAUCUGUCUAAUCUCUUCUACUAUAUUUCAAUCAUCUUGAAUAUAAGGAAUUGUAAGAGUCAGGAUAGGUUAGGCUAUGGUACGUCACCAACAAUGACAAAAAUUCAGUGGGUGCAAAUGCAAAUGUAUAAUUCUAUCAGCUCUGAACUUGGCUUCCACAGCAUCAUCCUCUGCC
rnacentral:lncRNA from 1 species